rnacentral:misc_RNA from 1 species
GUUCGAGCUUUCCAACAUGUAUAGAUAAUAAAUGUCAAACUACGAUGGAAACUUUAACCAGUUAUGAAUAUUUAAUCCAGAAACAUAAUGCGUGGUUUUUCAAUGCUUUUCUCGAAAGGAGACGAGCUCAUGAGAUUUCCAGUUAUCAAUGAUUGUAUAGAAAGAAGGAAAGUUUGACAGACUACCUCUUUUCUUUUGGAGAG